rnacentral:rRNA from 1 species
GAAGUCAUUACUCCAACUUUUCGGAGGGGAGGAUGCCUAAGGCAGUGCUGGUGACUGGGGUGAAGUCGUAACAAGGUAGCCGUACCGGAAGGUGUGGCUGGAUCACCUCCUUUU